rnacentral:tRNA from 1 species
GCCCACAUCGCGUAAUGGUAUCGCACUGGUCUUGAACACCAGACCCUUCGGGGUAUCCCCGUUCGAUUCGGGGUGUGGGCG